rnacentral:tRNA from 2 species
GGGCGAUUAGCUCAGCUGGUUAGAGCGCUACGUUGACAUCGUAGAGGUCAGCGGUUCGACUCCGUUAUCGCCCACAA